rnacentral:rRNA from 1 species
UUGAUCCUGGCUCAGAAUCAACGCUGGCGGCGUGCCUAACACAUGCAAGUCGGACGCGAAAGCCCCGCAAGGGGCCGGUAGAGUGGCGCACGGGUGAGUUACACGUGGAUAACCUGCCUGGCAGAGGGGACUAACCUCCCGAAAGGGGGUCUAAUGCCGCAUAAGACCUUGGGGCCGAAGCCUCGGGGUGGAAAGGGUAUACCCGCUGGCAGAGGGGUCCGCGCCUGAUUAGCUAGUUGGUGAGGUAAGUGCUCACCAAGGCUGCGAUCAGUAGCCGUCCUGAGAGGGAGCACGGCCACUCUGGAACUGAGACACGGUCCAGACUCCUACGGGAGGCAGCAGUGGGGAAUUUUUGGCAAUGGGGGCAACCCUGACCAAGCAACGCCGCGUGGGUGAAGAUGUACCUUGGUACGUAAAGCCCUUUCGGCAGGGACGAAGCAAGUGACGGUUCCUGCAGAAGAAGCCCCGGCUAACUCCGUGCCAGCAGCCGCGGAAGGGCUU